CCUACGGGAGGCAGCAGUGGGGAAUCUUGCGCAAUGGGCGAAAGCCUGACGCAGCAACGCCGCGUGCGGGAAGAAGGCUUUCGGGCUGUAAACCGCUUUCAGCAGGGACGAAAAUGACGGUACCUGCAGAAGAAGGAGCGGCCAACUAUGUGCCAGCAGCCGCGGUGAUACAUAGGCUUCAAGCGUUGUCCGGAUUUAUUGGGCGUAAAGAGUUCGUAGGCGGUCAAGUAAGUCGGGUGUGAAAAUUCUGGGCUCAACCCCAGAGACGCCACCCGAUACUGCUUAACUUGAGUUCGAUAGGGGAGUGGGGAAUUCCUAGUGUAGCGGUGAAAUGCGCAGAUAUUAGGAGGAACACCGGUGGCGAAGGCGCCACUCUGGAUCGAUACUGACGCUGAGGAACGAAAGCAUGGGUAGCAAACCAGGAUUAGAUACCCUGGUAGUCCAUGCCGUAAACGGUGGGCACUAGGUGUGGGUUUCUAUUAACGAAAUCCGCGCCGUCGCUAACGCAUUAAGUGCCCCGCCUGGGGAGUACGGUCGCAAAGACUAAAAACUCAAAUGAAUUGACGG
rnacentral:rRNA from 1 species